rnacentral:tRNA from 1 species
GGUGACGUAGUUCAAUUUGGUAGAGCAGGGGAUUGUCUAUCCUCAAGUUGUGGGUUCAAGUCCCAUCGUUACCGCAA